UUCCAAUCACCGAGAACUUAAGACUGA
rnacentral:piRNA from 2 species